GUGUGUGUUUUGUUUUAAUUUUUAUCGUUUGCCUGACAGUGGUGCCAACCAUGGCUGCACCACCCAAGCCAUGGGAGAGUGUGCCACCAUGUUGCCGCACCCCAGCAGGGCCAGGCGUCAACAGUAGGAUGGUGCCGCCUGAUGAGAUGCGUGCCGUUGCUGCCACAGUGCAGCCCCAGUUCCAGUCGACGCUGGCGGGCGGUGUGGCAGAACCCGGCGCGGUGGGCGGCAUGGCGCCUCCCAUCCCGCCCCGGCCGGCCCACGGAGCGGCCGGCAUGCCAUCCGCCAUGUCACCCUACUCGACAGGGUACGGCGGCUACAGUACCGGCUACGGUGGAUACGGCACCGGCUACGGCACCGGCUACGGCGCCUUCGGGGGAGGCUACAGCGGCUACGGAGCGGGCUAUGGCGGCUACGGCUCUGCCGGGGGCGGCUUCUACGGCCGACCGGGAGCGCUGGGCCCGGGCCCCGAGAGCUGGUUCAUUGAAGCGGCCGAGGAGAGUUCACGCAGCACGUUCGAGUCGAUCGAGUCGUUUGUCAGCGUGUUCACGUCCAUCAGCCAGAUGAUGGAGUCGACCUACAUGCUGGUGCACAGCUCGUUCCGGGCGGUGGUGGGUGUGGCCGAACAGAUGGGACGGAUGCGGCUGCACCUGGCCGAGCUGCUGUCGGCUCUCUCGAUAGCACGCACUCUGAGAUGGAUCGUUAACUUCCUCAGACGCUGGCUCGGCUACCCGGAGCUGGAGGGCGCCAAUGCGGCCUGGAGGGAAUCGGCAGGGGCAGUACAGAUGGCAGCGGGUGCCGCCGGCGGCUCUGGCAGGGGCGCCUCCCGCUGGCCAGUACUGGUGUACCUGGCGACCGUGCUGGGAGCGCCCUACCUCAUCUUCAGACUGCUGCGGGCCAGCGGCGGACGGCCGGAUAAUGAGAGCUGGAAGUCGGGCGCCGGCGAGCAUUUCUCUGCGGUGUGCAGUUUCGACUUCACGGCUAGUGGCCCUGGCGAGCUGACGGUGCGCGCCGGACAGUCUGUGCGCCUGGCGCCGCGCCGUCUGCAGCCCCGAGUGCGUGGCUGGGUGCUGGCCUCGGACGGCACCGCUGCAGGACUGGUGCCGGCAGCCUACGUCAAAAUCAGGGGCGCGGUGCCGGCGGGCGGCGUGCCGGGAGCUCCGGCAGCUGCGGCGGGACCAGGGCCGGUCCCGGCAGGACCAGGACCGGUCCCGACGGCAGGACCAGGACCAAUCCCAGCAGGACCAGGGUUGGUCCCGGCGGCGGGGAUAGGCCAGGCGGGGACGUCGGCGUCGGCUGGUGUCUGCGCUUCACCAGCCUCCAACUCAGUGACUAAGGCGGCACCAGCGGCAGCGGCGGAGAAAAAGCCGGGUGGCUGCUGUGGCGGCGCGGCUGCAGCUCAGUCCCAGCCUCCUCCUGCUCAAACCGAGGCCAAACCGAGCUGCUGCAGCUCCAAGACGGCUACCUCCCCGGCUGACCGCGUUGCUGCCAUGAAGGACCAGCUCCCCGGUAACGUUCAGAUUACUGAGGUUGACCCUGCCACCGUCACAGUCUCCACACUGAGAGCGGCUGACCGGUCGGCUCCCGCUGAUGGCGCACAGAAGUGAGACACCGAAGGACUUCGCUCGGGAUCUGUAGGGUAGCCUAGUCCGCUUGUUUGGGUUGCGGCGUGGAUUGGGGGUAGAUAGACCAUGCCCUUUGGGGUGCAAAGAGAUUAUAAAGGUGCUUGUGUCGCCUCAUCGGCGUCUCCAGCACUGGGUUUACGCGCGCAGCUGCGAUCAGAGUUUGUCGCGGGUGUGGUGUGAUAAGAUUACUGGGCCAUUAGAGGUGGCAGUCUAUUUUGCUAUGUGCAGAGGGGGGCAGAGUAUAUUAUGUCAAGUCUGGGCACCGCUGCACAUGUGUCGACCCUGUGGGUCUCGGAUGGGGUACGUUAUACCGUCAGUGGUCAGGAGGUGACCUGUGUCUCACUCUCGACCCAGUGCGUCGAGCAGUAACAGUCCAUUGGGAACGAAGGAAUGCCGGGGAUCGUAGAUCAUAUAUUGGCAGCCUUUACCAGUGCAAAGCAGUCAGGGGUUAUUGACGGGGUCAAUUAGCGCUCGUCCCAGCUCAAAGUAGCGCUAGCUGAUGGCAGAAAUGAAGCUGUCCGGGAAAUGAUAGCUGCAACUGAUUGACGUCACGUUCCCGGCCUGGAGCGAGUGCUUCUGUUGCUACUCAUGCUGAUUCAGUGACUCGAAGCUGAUAUUCCACGGUAUUUGUGGUGAGUGUCCGUGGCCGCGCUUUCUGUGCGCAACCUGUACGACUUUUACCCGGGUGUUACGAUCUAUGGACCGUUUUUUUUUGGGGGGGGGGGGCGAUUUGCGUAUGCCGAGGUCGCGGAGACAGACUAUGCUCCAUGUUGGGGAACACCGGCGCAGCUUUUUUUUUCGGUCGCCAGUCAUCUGCUCUGGUGAUGCCGGAAUAUGUGACCGAUGUGCUGGGGUUGGUAAAUGCCUCCUAACAGUGAGCUUAUGAAGCAGAUAAUAUGGAAUUGUGAUCAAUACAUUUACUUAAAAUGGUGUCAAA
rnacentral:misc_RNA from 1 species